rnacentral:rRNA from 1 species
UACGGAGGAGGCAAGCGUUAUCCGGAAUUAUUGGGCGUAAAGGGUUCGUAGGUGGCCCGCUAAGUCACACGUGAAAUCCCUCAGCUUAACUGGGGAACUGCGUGUGAGACUGGCAGGCUUGAGUGCAGGAGAGGAACGCGGAAUUCCAGGUGUAGCGGUGAAAUGCGUAGAUAUCUGGAGGAACACCGGUGGCGAAGGCGGCGUUCUGGACUGUAUCUGACACUGAGGAACGAAAGCCAGGGGAGCAAACGGG